AUUGAACGCUGGCGGCAUGCCUUACACAUGCAAAUCGAACGGUAACGGGCCUUCGGGUGCCGACGAGUGGCGAACGGGUGAGUAAUACAUCGGAACGUGCCCGAUCGUGGGGGAUAACGAGGCGAAAGCUUUGCUAAUACCGCAUACGAUCUACGGAUGAAAGCAGGGGACCGCAAGGCCUUGCGCGGACGGACCGGCCGAUGGCAGAUUAGGUAGUUGGUGGGAUAAAAGCUUACCAAGCCGACGAUCUGUAGCUGGUCUGAGAGGAUGAUCAGCCACACUGGGACUGAGACACGGCCCAGACUCCUACGGGAGGCAGCAGUGGGGAAUUUUGGACAAUGGGCGCAAGCCUGAUCCAGCCAUGCCGCGUGCAGGAUGAAGGCCUUCGGGUUGUAAACUGAUUUUGUACGGAACGAAAAGCCUUCUUUUAAUACAGGAGGGUCAUGACGGUACCGUAAGAAUAAGCACCGGCUAACUACGUG
rnacentral:rRNA from 1 species